rnacentral:rRNA from 1 species
CCUACGGGAGGCAGCAGUGGGGAAUUUUGGACAAUGGGAGAAAGCCUGAUCCAGCAAUGCCGCGUGUGGGAGGAAGGCCUUCGGGUUGUAAUCCUAUUUUGUACGGAAAGAAACAGUCUGCAUUAAUACGGUGGGCCCAUGACGGUACCGUAAGAAUAAGCACCGGCUAACUACGUGCCAGCAGCCGCGGUAAU